AUUGAACGCUGGCGGCAUGCUUUACACAUGCAAGUCGGACGGCAGCGCGGGCUUCGGCCUGGCGGCGAGUGGCGAACGGGUGAGUAAUACAUCGGAACGUGCCCAGUAGUGGGGGAUAGCUCGGCGAAAGCCGGAUUAAUACCGCAUACGACCUGAGGGUGAAAGCGGGGGACUUUAGGGCCUCGCGCUAUUGGAGCGGCCGAUGGCAGAUUAGCUAGUUGGUGGGGUAAAGGCCUACCAAGGCGACGAUCUGUAGCUGGUCUGAGAGGACGACCAGCCACACUGGGACUGAGACACGGCCCAGACUCCUACGGGAGGCAGCAGUGGGGAAUUUUGGACAAUGGGCGCAAGCCUGAUCCAGCAAUGCCGCGUGUGUGAUGAAGGCCUUCGGGUUGUAAAGCACUUUUGGCAGGAACGAAAAGUGCCGUGCUAAUACCACUGUACGAUGACGGUACCUGCAGAAUAAGCACCGGCUAACUACGUG
rnacentral:rRNA from 1 species